UUUUCUUUUCAUAUUCACACAACACCAAACCCUAGAGAGAUGGAGACCGAGACAGAGUUAGAGAGAGAGAGAAGUGCGAUGGUGAAGGUGAUGUGGUUUGAACCACCGCACGAACACCUGCCGUUGCCGAACACCACCACCGGAGUUCCCUGCCUGCCUGCCGCCGCACGAACACCACCGGAGUUCCCUGCCGCCGCACGAACACCAUCGGAGUUCCUAGCCGUUCACCGGAGCACCUCCAACGUUCACCUAUGUAUGGGAUUUCUUAAUUUGCUGCUUAUAUUGCAUUUGCAGAGGCUAAGGUUUGAUUUCGUGGUUGUUGUGGUUUACUAUAAGAUGAUCUUCAUGCAUUCUUUGGGUUUGAUUUUGUGGAGGUUUGAUCUGUCGAUGUUGAUUCUAUAUUGAUUUUGAAGUAUUAUAGAGUUCACAUUUAAAGAAUUAGGGUUCUUACAUAGUGUUUUUGAGUGUCUUUUUUUUUAAUUUUACUUUUAUUAUGAAAGUAAGAUACUGAUGGGCGUUCUUGAGUUGGUGUGAUAUAACAAAUAACCAUGCAUUCAUGAUUUUUGUUAUAUGAAAAGUAAUUAAAAAAUAUAAAGAUCAGAGUGUGAGUGAUGCAAAGAUCGCCAUUUGGUUAAAUUGAGUGGGGUUCAUUUGUUUUUCGAUUGAUUUCUUUGCGUUUUACUUAUCUUUAUAUUAAGUUGUUCAUUUUUGUUGCAUCUUUAGGAUCUUGGUUGUUCGGCAGUCGUUACAUUGGUUGUAUGUGUUUCUUAAGAGUCCUCUUCUCUCUACUAUUGGUAUUCUAAAGAAAGAAACAAAAAGUGAAGUGAGUUUGCCCUGCCGUUGCCGCCGGCUCCAGCCGUCUAUGGCGGCGACGGACGCACAAUGUGCAAUGGGUGUUGCUCCGUCGUUACCGGCGGCUCCGACCGUCUAUGGUGGCGGCGGAUUUAGAAGGUGCGAAUGGUUGUUACCCCGUCGUUGCCGGUGGCUACAACCAUCUAUGGCGGCGGCAGAUGGUUAUGAUGAUGUCGUUAGCCUCAUCUGAGUCUCCAUGGCUGGGACAAUGUUUUUUCCGGAACAAUCGCCAUAGGGGCGGCGGCUAUGGUUUUUGCCGUAUUGGGGUUUAAGGCAACCGACCUCACCUUAGUCUAUGGAAUACCUGAGUUUUUCUAAUAUAAAAUCGAUGAUGAUGAUAAUGAUGCGAAUUUCAUCAAAGAUUAUCAACAUAGGGUGGUGAUGAUGAUGGGAUAAACCAUAACUGAACCCUAAUUGCUUAUGUGUUUAUUAUUUUGUUGCGUUUAUAUUUUUUAGUCUGUUAACGAUUCUUUGAAGCUUUUAGGUUGUCUUGCACUCUUCUAAACUUAUGCUUGGUGGUUACCUGGAACCUCCAUUGCAACCAUGGUGGUUAACCACUCUAAGCCUUAUAAUAUUGAAUGAAGCCUAACUGGCACUAAGCACUGUGUUAUAUUCAAUAAUGUUUUCGCUGGCUGGAAGUAAGGUAUGGAUAAAUGCUUGACUCUUUGAAGUCAAAAGUCUACAUUUUUAAUUUGAAAGUUAAUGUAGUGUUUGUGUCAAAAGCUACAACAAACUAAUCUUUGUGCCAUAUAUGUUAUAAGGGUUGACUGACUUCUUUAAGAUUUUAUCUAAAACUUAAAAGAAUAUGUCAUUUUGAGGUCAAAAAUUGGUUUGUUCGACCUUAAAAGUAAUGCACAUUCUUACCCUGAUUUAUCUUUGGAUGACCUCGUCAGAUUGAACAUACAAGCUGAGAUUUCUAAGGAGAUCUGGUAUCUUUAAGUUAUUAUAUUAAUGAAUUUUUUAAUUAUAUCCUUAUAAAAAAGCAUAAUAACUUGACAAUAUUUGAUGAAAGGAAAAAUUGCAAAGUCUACCAGAGAUAUCAUACGAAAUGUAUCGUUUUAUGUUUAUCUAAUAUUGGCCUGUUGUAUUGUAGUGUUCAUAUAAGGAAGUUCGUCUUAAUGAGACAGACAUGGGAGAAAAGAAGAAAUAGCUAAAAGAAGGCAUGGAUUGCAGUUUGCUAUUUUGGAAGGGACAGGUUAUCGAUUUUGACUUUUGAGGUCCCAUUACAGGUUAAAGUGAAAAUAGUUGAUGUUGAUUCUCGUACGAAAGGUGACACGACAUCAGGUGGAUCAAAACCACCAACAGUGAAACCAGUGCUACUGUUUAUGUUCCUUUGUUUGUAGACAGAGAUCAAGAAAUUAUCAUCGAUACACGAACAGGGCAGUACGUGAGGCGCGUAUGAGUAGCUGGAACACGUCAAUGAGUUUUUUCUUGCAGUAAAAUGUUUGCUCAAUCAUGUCUGCAGGAGGGUGUGGGGCACGGGGUCUAUUAUUCACCGGUUUGUUUGCAAAGAAACAAUACGUGCACCAGGUGUAUGCCACCGGACGGCCAUACGGCCUUUUCAUGGGCGGUGGUGGAAAGUUACUAGCCGCGCAGAUAAUCCAAAUACUUGUGAUAUUCGAAUGGGUGAGCGCAACAAUGGCCCCGCUUUUCUAUGCCUUGAAAAAACUCAAUUUGUUGCGUGUAUCUAAAGAAGAUGAAAUGCAAGGAAUGGAUAUGACUCGACAUGGUGGAUUCGCGUAUAUUUAUCAUGACGAAGAUGGUAGCUCUCACUCGCCACCCGGGUUUGCGAUGAGAAAGACUGAACCUGUAAGUGCAAGCCCAUCACCAAAUCACAACACAAUGAACAUUGUUGUGCAACCUUAUUAUUUCUGGUUUGAAUUAGAGUCUCUAUUAGUCAGUGAAAGUUAUUAAAAAAACUUAUUAUUAUUUUCAUAAGCGGGUUGUCAACACUCUAACUGAGAUGGUUAUCCGGUCAGCAACAAUGAUGCUUUUGAGAUUCGGGAUCAACCGGAGAUAAAUGUGAUAUUUUACAUGUUAGUCACAAUGUUGUAUUUGAAGAUAAUAUUCCUUCGAGGACUUGUAAUGUCAUACUGUUCUCAUUUCAUAUUCCACGUGUAAUAUAAUUAAUUUGUGACUGAAUGUAAGCAAAGACAAAUUGUUUGUUUUAUUA